GUUGCUCGCAACAGGUGAAGAUCUCGACAACAUGAUGUUUGUGAUGGGGCCUCGGUAUUUCAUGGAGGUGAAUUGUGAUUUGGUUUUUUAGAGAAUCUGUUCAUAUGGCAAAGUGCACAGAGGAGAACAACACAACUAGUAUCACAGACCCAGCACAGGGUGGUACGAUGGGACAAUGAGGAGCAGCUUGGGUGUUUCAGGUUGCGGUCGGACAUAACAGUGCGGGACGGGAUCCGUCCAAAACCACUUAGAAUCUGUUCAUAUGGCAAAGUGCACAGAGGAGAACAACACAACUAGUAUCACAGACCCAGCACAGGGUGGUACGAUGGGACAAUGAGGAGCAGCUUGGGUGUCUCAGGUUGCGGUCGGACAUAACAGUGCGGGACGGGAUCCGUCCAAAACCACUUAGAAUCUGUUCAUAUGGCAAAGUGCACAGAGGAGAACAACACAACUAGUAUCACAGACCCAGCACAGGGUGGUACGAUGGGACAAUGAGGAGCAGCUUGGGUGUCUCAGGUUGCGGUCGGACAUAACAGUGCGGGACGGGAUCCGUCCAAAACCACUUAGAAUCUGUUCAUAUGGCAAAGUGCACAGAGGAGAACAACACAACUAGUAUCACAGACCCAGCACAGGGUGGUACGAUGGGACAAUGAGGAGCAGCUUGGGUGUUUCAGGUUGCGGUCGGACAUUACAGGGCGGGACGGGUGCUUUCCAAACCUACUCCUCACUGUGGGCGGUCAUAUGAGUCCCGGUAGCCAUUUAAAGC